UCCUUUAAACAACGUCCCAGCCCUGGGCAAAGUUUGCAGGUGGUCGAUUGCCUGGUCUUCACAGAGGUUAGCUCUUAGGGAGCACUGAAGUCUGAAGGUCUGAUAGACAGUCCUAUCAUCAGAGGAGACCUUAGUGCCAACAAGACCCAGAUAAUGUCAACUCUGUCCUCAGUUAAGUACAUAACACAGCAAGAGCUCUUGGAUGUGCUGCCCAGAACAAUGUACGGGGAGAAGGGAAAUGCCGCACCAGGGCCACAGCUGGGACAUACCAUGGCAGUGGGCCUGCCAUUUUGAUUAGGGGCUCUAAGUUGGAGUCUUUGCUGUAGGGUUCAGUGGACCUUGAGAAAACACCAGUGCAUCCGUCACCAUCAUCCCUCCUGGGACAAAGCUGGCUGGCCACUUCUGAAGCGCCAGUGACCCAAGGCCUGAACCCUGCUGCUCUCCAUUCCCUGCCCUACGCAGCCACUGGGAAUCUGUGACCUCAAGUUCAGCGGGAAUCACACACUUGCAUUGCAGCUUCAAAAGCAGUGGCUGGCUCUGUCAUGUUUUUAAACUGUGUUGUGCCCUCCACGCGCUCUGGGCAAAUUAACAAAACAAAAUAUUGAUAAGCACACUAUCUCUGUUUAAAAAAUAUAUUCUGUCAAAAGAGGCAAAGACAUAUCAUAGAAACAAAGAUCUGCUUUCUUUUUUUUUUAUAAACAUUUGGUCCUCUACAUCGAAAACAUUACAUGAAAAUAUGAAAACAGUUAUGAAUUUUGUAAUAGGCUUCUUACUGCAUCCAAGCCCAGAUGGUUCUUAAUUGGUUGGCAAAGGGAGCAAGAGGUCUUUUUUUGAGGCGUGAGUGUGUGAUUGUUGCUGCUGAAUUGCUGCUAUGAAAGGCUGGCUGCGUGAUGUGGAGAUGGAACAGUGUGAGAACAGGUCACACAAAGGAGCCACCAGCCUUGCACACGGGGGGAUACUGGGGGUGCAUGGAGUAUGUCUGUUGGAGGAGCAGGGAGGAGGAGGGGGGACACACGAAAGACAGCUUAAGAUGAGAAAGUGGAGACAUGUAGGAGGUGGUCAUACAUAAAGUCUACCAAGAGAGUGAGAAAGUCAUUAACUGUUUCUAUCCAGUGACAACAUGUACUUUAAUGUGAUGUUGUUUAUAUACUCAACAAUUCAUCCAACUACUUUUAACUUGAAGUUCACUGUCCUGUGAAACAACACCAAUUAAACAUAUAACUAAGCCUC